UACGGAGGGGGCUAGCGUUGUUCGGAAUUACUGGGCGUAAAGCGCACGUAGGCGGCUUUGUAAGUUAGAGGUGAAAGCCCGGGGCUCAACCCCGGAACUGCCUUUAAGACUGCAUCGCUUGAAUCCAGGAGAGGUGAGUGGAAUUCCGAGUGUAGAGGUGAAAUUCGUAGAUAUUCGGAAGAACACCAGUGGCGAAGGCGGCUCACUGGACUGAUAUUGACGCUGAGGUGCGAAAGCGUGGGGAGCAAACAGG
rnacentral:rRNA from 1 species